CCCCCUUUCUGUAUUGACAUACUUCUAGGAGCUGCAAUGCUCAAAUUGCCACGGAUCUUAGACUGGUGUCAAGAUGCUAUUGAUAAGAUUUUGAAUUGCAUCAAACGGUUUCAGGAAAGUGGAAGGAGUGAUGAAGAACUAAAACAUAGUUACAGUGGGCGUUUUUUAUAGGAACAAAAUUGAAGAAUUUGACAUUAACAUAAUUUUAGUACUAAAUCAGGUGUCCCUGGUUUUGUUAGCAUCAGGACAUGUUGACCUAAUUGUCCAUGGUUACACUCAUCUUCAAACGGCACAAAUUGUUUUGCUGCACAUCUUCUCUUACCAUAUGAUGAACAGAACGACGGUGCAGACAUGGAUG